GGAGAGGUACCGAAGCGGUCAUAACGGCACCGACUCGAAAUCGGCUGGGGCUUUUGCCCACGCGGGUUCGAACCCCGCCCUCUCCGCCA
rnacentral:tRNA from 1 species